rnacentral:lncRNA from 1 species
AGACGGUAAUAUCAUAUAAGUCUUCAAACCUAGAGAUAUGAUUUGUUACUUACAAGUUGGUUAUGCAUUGACUGUACGAAACCGCAUUGGUAACUCGAUGUUAUAAAACGUACUUUUGUGUGUAAUUCAAUGAGUGGUAGAACAAACAUAUGAGUCGAAGUUUAUCUGUUCCUUCUUGGAUUAGAAGCUGAUAUCUGGGCCCCUCGAUGAUUUUGUUUUGACCCAUGUACCGGGCCCGGUCAGAACUAAGUUGAUGUGUUCAAUUAAGUUCUAUGUCAAACAAAUCGGAAAUCGGGAAACAAAUGCUGGACAAUAAGCAAGAUAAUGUUCCAUGUAUUUGUCCGGCUGAUAUCUAGAACGGAGGAUUAUAUGAUCACUUAUCUUAAAUGGCGUACCAUCAUCUUCUCAGUUCCGAGAGACCUUGAAAGAGCUACGAUUGCCGGUCGGUUCCUGAAGUACUAGAGAUAUAGUUAUUAGACUUAUCCAAGUGGGAGACUGUUGGAUAAGGUGUCUAAGUCCAUAACUAUUUCGGGCUUGUACUUGACCCGACCCGGCAUGGUCCAUUUGGGUUGCAUGGCACCAUGCAAUUGGAUAGACUAAAUGAGAGAAAUAACACUUGGAGAUUAUUAAUAUAUUAUAAGUUCUAAUAUAUUAAUAAUAUUAUUUGAUUAGUUGAUCAAAGAAUUAAUUUGGAAUUAAUUAAGUGAUCAAAGGAUAACUAAUUAAAUAUAUGGGUUGAUUAUGUAAAUCAUCCAUAUCUUGUAUAGUGGGCUAAGAGGCUCCAUGGAUUAUCAAGUUGGGUUCUACCCAUAGGAUGCUCCAUGGGAGUUACAAACCCAUGGGUCAUGGAAAUGAAGAGUCAUGACACAUUAGGGUUUACAUGGUGUAACCCUAGAUGUGUCAACACUAUAUAAGAGACCCAUUCUCCACAAAAUUGGCUACACAAGUUGAACACUAAGAAACUAGAGGGCUUGGCCGAUUUUGAGAAGUGUGUAUUAUCUCAAGAGUUUUUUCCAAGAG